rnacentral:rRNA from 1 species
CCUACGGGAGGCUGCAGUGAGGAAUAUUGGUCAAUGGGCGCGAGCCUGAACCAGCCAAGUAGCGUGAAGGAUGAAUGCCCUACGGGUUGUAAACCUCUUUUAUAAAGGAAUAAAGUGAGGCACGUGUGCCUUUUUGUAUGUACUUUAUGAUUAAGGAUAGGCUAACUCCGUGUCAGCAGCCGCGGUAAUACGGAGGAUCCGAGCGUUAUCCGGAUGUAUUGGGUCUAAAGGGAGCGGAGAUGGGUGGGUAAGUCAGUUGUGAAAGUUUGCGGCUCAACCGUAAAAUUGCAAUUGAUACUGGCAGUCUUGAGUACAGUUGAGGUAGGCGGAAUUCGUGGUGUAGCGGUGAAAUGCUUAGAUAUCACGAAGAACUCCGAUUGCGAAGGCAGCUUACUAAACUGCCACUGACAUUGAUGCUCGAAAGUGUGGGUAUCAAACAGGAUUAGAUACCCCAGUAGUC